GACGAACGCUGGCGGCGUGCUUAACACAUGCAAGUCGAACGGUAAGGCCCUGCUUUUGUGGUCUGCUCGAGUUGCGAACGGGUGAGUAACACGUGAGUAACCUGCCUUUUACUUUGGGAUAACUUCUGGAAACUAGGGCUAAUACCGCAUAGGAGCUCCUGUUGCAUGGCGUUGGCUGGAAAGUUUCGGUGGCUUGGGUUGGACUCGCGGCUUCUCAGCUUGUUGGUGGUGUAGUGGCUUACCAAGGCGUUGGCGGCUAGCCGGCCUGGGAGGGUGACCGGCCACAGUGGGCCUGAGAUAGCGGCCAGACGCCAACGGGAGGCAGAAGUGGGGAAUAGUGCACAAUGGGCGGAGGCCGGAUGCAGCAACGCCGCGUGGGGGAGGACGGCCUUCGGGGUGGAACCCGCGUGAGCCUGUGACGAAGAGUGAGUGACGGUAAUGGGUAAAGAAGCACCGGCUAACUACGUG
rnacentral:rRNA from 1 species